rnacentral:snRNA from 1 species
GGGCUUUGGUAGCACAUAUAUUAAAACUGGAAUGAUACAAAGAUUAGCAAGGCUCUUGAANGAGGAUGACACAAAUUUGUGAAGCGUUCUACAUUUUA